CACGUAGGCACCAAGCGUUGUCCGGAUUUAUUGGGCGUAAAGAGCUCGUAGGCGGUUCAGUAAGUCGGGUGUGAAGACUUUGGGCUUAACCCAAAGCGUGCAUCCGAUACUGCUGUGACUUGAGUUCGGUAGGGGAGUGGGGAAUUCCUAGUGUAGCGGUGAAAUGCGCAGAUAUUAGGAGGAACACCGGUGGCGAAGGCGCCACUCUGGGCCGAAACUGACGCUGAGGAGCGAAAGCAUGGGUAGCAAACAGG
rnacentral:rRNA from 1 species